rnacentral:rRNA from 1 species
UACGAAGGGGGCUAGCGUUGUUCGGAAUUACUGGACGUAAAGCGCGCGCAGGCGGCUAUCCAAGUCAGUGGUGAAAGCCCGGAGCUCAACUCCGGAACUGCCAUUGAAACUGUUUAGCUUGAGGACGAGAGAGGUGAGUGGAAUUCCGAGUGUAGAGGUGAAAUUCGUAGAUAUUCGGAAGAACACCAGUGGCGAAGGCGACUAACUGGACACGUAUUGACGCUGAGGUACGAAAGCGUGGGGAGCAAACAGG